UGGGACAACAGGGUCAAUUUCCAAACACUUUGGAGUGGAAUUCUGGCUGCUGCCCAGCUGCAUUGCUGGAGGUUCCAGCUUGUUCACACCAAAGUCCUGUGCGUCCCCAGACAGACCCAAGGCCUGGCUCAGAGGUUAGGGCAAGAGAGGAUCCCACCCAGCGUCUUAACAGCUAGGUUUUGAGGGUGCAAGAUGAAGAGCCAUGGCACAUAUGGAACAGUAACGAACCGGACUAGUUAACUGCCCAAUGGCAAGCGUCGUUUGUCCCAUUUUACCGGAGAGGCGCAGAAUCGUGAGCGAUUUGCUUGGGAAAAUCCUGCGACCAAUGGAAUUGCAGCUUUCACCCAAACCAACAUCACACGAUGAAAACCUCAAAGCAAGCGGGACCUGAGGAAUUUCCGAGGACAGUACUUGUCACUACUAACCACCACUGUGGCUCACUAUGUAUGAAAAGUUUCCCACGCUGAAAGAUAGCGUCACUAGCCACUGAGGAAUAAAAGCGUUUCAAAAACGUGUA